rnacentral:lncRNA from 1 species
UGAACCCUGAACUAGAGAUUCUUGGUUCGAUCCCAGUACAGUCGCCAGGGCUGUCACACCUCUUUUUUACCUACACCCCGCGGAGAGCGUAGAAAGGAAAUUUUUUCCGAUUUAAGUGACAAUCGAAACGAGAUUAUUUAUUAAAAAUUCAGAGUCGUCACUUGAAAUAAUUUAUGGUAUCCGUGUAAGGAAUUCUGUUGACCCGGAAGAAGGUGCUAGGCGUUCCAAGUUCCGUGAUUCUAGCACGGUCGUUCAACUGUUAUAACUGGCUUAAUUAUCUGAUUUUAAAACAUUUUGAACCUAUGCAAUUUUAACUUUAACCGCUUUUAUUUAUUUUUUGAAAUAUUGCAACGUUGUUAAAAUAUGUCCGAACCACGUCACAUAAAUGCAUCCACGGUCUUCGACAUAUUUUAACAUUGUUGAGAUUUGAAUUUACAUCACAUAAAUGUGCACCCGAAUUUAGGAAGGUGAAUAAAAAUAAUGCGCCUAAAGCAGCUACGCGUUUUUAACUUUGCGAGGGCCAUGAAAAUUUGCUAAAUGACACGCCUCGAAUUCUAAGAAUUUAAAAAUAAAUAAUUAAUGAGGGCCACACAUUUAAAAAUUUUGCUUGGCACAGCGCGCCUCAAUUCCAUUUUUAAAGGAAAUAGCAUUUAAUUAAGUGAACUAUGGAUAUGCAUAUCCACAACUAAUUUGAGUUUACAUCACCACCACAUCACGAGAUUACUAUGGGUAGUUAAGUAUACAACACAAAAACGAGCAAACCCAAUUGCAGGACUAACGACUGAAGUCCGACUCCAGCAUUUAAUAGAACCAAUUCGGAGUCCACUAUGCAUUUACUUGCCCAAUGACCAUUUGGCCCAAACGACACUGAUUCUAUAGCUUGAUUCACAUUUCCAAAACGAACUCAAUGCUUAACCCAUCCAACUCAAAUGACUUCAAGUUAAUUUAAAAACAAACUUUGGCUUUGGCUGAUAUGAAAUCACGCUGGUAAUGUAAAUAUGAAUCAUCAAACUGAGCAACAAAAAAAUUGCUUGUUUUAGUUUUAGAUUUCCACUACAAUGAUCCAUGACCAUCUGAUUUAGGCUUAUACCAAGAUUUAUGCAUAUUCAACCAAGCAUGCCUUGUUUUCAAUCAAAGACAUAUUACACUAGAGAUCAACAUAUUUGCAUUCAUUAAAAUGGCAGUCUUAAAACAUCAAUUUAAGGAGCAAAACAUUCAGUCCUUUUAACCAGACACAAGCUAGAUCUUCAUGAACUAAAUGACAAGUUAAAAGCUGGAAAAGAAACAAAACUUGGACCAAAUUUGUAGAGUAACCUCAUGAAAGAAUAUGGAUCAAACUAGGCAUGAAUCCUAUAAAUACAUAAGAAAAACAACGAACAGAAGGUGUUUUCCCUGCAAAUCCUUCCAAUAUAAGAUGUAGGCGAACUCAUAGAAACUCUCAAUAGCAUAAAUGAAGAUGAUAGAAUACAGAUGCACUAAACUACAGAAUUCUUGAGAGAAACACAACUAAUAUUUGCUAUCAAGAAACUUAGUGCACAUCUUGAGCUUCCAAUUGAUUUUAUGACUUCAAAUUCAAAGGUCAUACAUUCAUGGGUCUAAGAAGUACCUAGAAAGCAAAAAGAAAUAAAAUAGUGAAACGUCAGCAACAACAAACGAUGGUCAGCCAUACCUGGAAAAGCAGAAAUAAAUAGAAUAGUGCAAGGUCAGCAAUUUAAAACGAUGGUCAGCAACAGUGCUAACUGAAUGAAGUCAGUUUCAGCUCCAAACCAAUUCCACACAGACCCAGAUUCAAUUUCAAAUCUCAAAAACAAAUGAAAAUAGCAUUCCAAACACAAAUUGAGCUCAAAAUCAACUUUUGAAAACCAAAUUAACCAUCCUGAACCCCAUUUACAUCAAAGGCUACUCUCUAGAGAUCAAUUUCAGAAAAGAAAGACCAAUGGAAUAGUGUUUUUUUUAAAAGAACCUCGGUCGUCCUAUUUUCUCUGAUUUUUAUCUCCCAAAGUCUCCCUUGAAUGGUAAGAUAGGAUGCCUUUAUAGGCGAGAAAAGUAGGGCAGCCUAGACAAUUCAUUUUUGCACUUAGACCCUUUUCCAAUUCUCAUUUUAGUUUCUUGCUUGUUAACCAAGCUAGCCUACUUUCAGUUUUCUAGACGCUUCUUAAACAGUUACCAAAAGAUUCCCCUUUUCCUAUUUCCUAAACUACCCUCCCAACUCUGAAAAUUACACUCCCAUGCCAACCAGGGCAUAAAUACAAUUGGCCAAAACUAAUGGGUUCAGAUAAAACCCAAUUCAACCCUUCCUGGGUCUUUUAAUAUUAGGAGGCUUCUUUUAUCAGUGAAGAGCCCACGUUUCACAAGCUAAACCAUAGAGUCUCAGGGACUCGUGAAGUUUGGGUUUUAAGCAAAAUGAAAACAAAGGAAAAAGAAUAAAAGCAAGUUUUCAAAUUUAACAUCUGAAGCCAUUAUUGACUUCACAAGCUUGGGACCAAACAGGCAAGCAUGAAAAAUGAAACAAAAAUGCAAAAUAACAGUCUAAACAGAUGAGGACACAAUGUAAAAAAAAAAGGACAAUAACGACCUAAGUGAAGAGAAUACCAUCUCUAGAGACGACGAAUCGUAGCUUGACCAGACCUUGACAACUUCGUGAUGGGUCGGAACUCACAUUAUUCAACGGCUCUUUGCCCAAACGCCAUUAACUAAUGUCAACUUUGACUCAAAGCAUGCCAAAAAUCAUCGACAAAAUUAAGAAGUGAGAUCUUGACAAUUUCGACUACUUUGGAUUUGAGAUUUAAGGGAUUCCAUAGGGUAUUUUGGGAAAUGGGGGCUGGGGGUAUGAUUUAGACAGGUUUGGCGGUCGCCUGACAUGGAUUUGAGGUGGUUUGAGCUCUGUCGCUGCCGAAGAUGGGGAAGGGGUGUGGGGGUGGCGAUGGAUCGAAUGGGAUAGACAAGGUACAUGGGUGUUUGGAGGAAAUGAGGAGUCUCUGACCCUUUUUGGACAUAUUAAUGGUUUGAAGAGAUGGGUUUCAGACCAUUUAAUGCAUCAAAA